UAGCGUCAGCGGCGCCGUGGUGUACGGGAAUCCGGUGUGAUGCCGGUGCGGCCCUCGCCACUGUGAUCGGGAAGUGACGCGCCGUCCGCUCGCGGGCGGGCCACUGGGACCCACGGGUCCUGGGAAGGCAGGCGCGGCACGCAAUCGCCCGUCAGCCAGGAGACCGGCCACGGCACCGUGUGACCC
rnacentral:ncRNA from 2 species